rnacentral:rRNA from 1 species
ACACGUAGGGGGCAAGCGUUGUCCGGAAUUACUGGGCGUAAAGGGCGUGUAGGCGGCCAUGUAUGUCAGGUGUGAAAAGCCACGGCUUAACCGGGGCACUGCACAUGAAACUGCAUGGCUUGAGUGCAGGAGAGGGGAGUGGAAUUCCUAGUGUAGCGGUGAAAUGCGUAGAUAUUAGGAGGAACACCAGUGGCGAAGGCGACUUCCUGGACUGUAACUGACGCUGAGGCGCGAAAGCGUGGGUAGCAAACAGGAUUAGAUACCCUGGUAGUCCACGCUGUAAACGAUGGGUACUAGGUGUGGGUAGUUCACUCUAUCCGUGCCGCAGCAAACGCAAUAAGUACCCCGCCUGGGGAGUACGGCCGCAAGGUUGAA